UGGGCUUCUGCUGGGUUGCCAACUCUGAAUGUCUGUAGCUGCCUGAAAAACUAUGUUGAGAAAGAUCCUGGGGUUUUGAGUAAUCCUCAGGUACCUGGCCUCAAGAAGCCAACGGUUUGCAACUUGGAAGAGGAUCCUCAUCAGAACUGUACCAUGCUGGCACCUGAAUCUCAGACUUCCAGCCUCCAGAACUGUCAUCAGGCUCUCCCUCCCAUCCUGCACCUUAAUUGAGGAGAGACGGCAAAAAAGACUAUAUCCUGGGGCCAGCCCUGUGGCCAAGUGCUUAAGUUUGCGUGCUCUGCUUCGGUGGCCCAGGGUUUCACUGGUUCGGAUCCUGGGCAUGGACAUGGCACCACUCAUCAAGCCAUGCUGAGGCAGUGUCCCACAUAACAGAAUUAGAAGGACCUACAACUAGAACAUACAACUA
rnacentral:lncRNA from 1 species